UUUGUAUUAAAACGUUGCUUUAAGAAGCAGUCAGAAAGCCGUCCCAAACGAAGCCUAAGACAGUAAGAAACUAGUCCCAAACGAAGCCUAAGACAGACUCUUAAUUUGGCCUGCAGGGAUGAAGUGAUUUCAUAUAAAAAUUUUGCAUCCCCUUUCUAGAUAACAACAGAUAUCAUUAAUGGACAACUCUCGUGUUUUAAAAUGCUUGAGAAAAUUAUAUUAGAAUGAUUGGGAAGAAAGAACACUAUAUAU